rnacentral:rRNA from 1 species
UACGUAGGGUGCAAGCGUUUAAUCGGAAUUACUGGGCGUAAAGCGUGCGCAGGCGGCUUUGCAAGACAGAUGUGAAAUCCCCGGGCUCAACCUGGGGAACUGCAUUUGUGACUGCAUGGCUAGAGUGCGGCAGAGGGGGGUAGAAUUCCACGUGUAGCAGUGAAAUGCGUAGAGAUGUGGAGGAACACCGAUGGCGGAAGGCAGCCCCCCUGGGUCAAGAUUGACGCUCAUGCACGAAAGCGUGGGGAGCAAACAGG